CGUCACACCAUGAGAAAGUAGAAAGAAACAGAGAUGUUGUAAAGCGGAUUAUCGACACCACUGCCUUUUUGGGCAUGCAAUGAUUGGCUUUUAGAGGACACGAUGGAAGGGAAAGUUCCGCUAACAAGGGCAACUACAAUGAGAUUGCGGAGUUUGACCCCACUGCUGUCCCUGGCUCCACACACAUCCUGCCCGGCCAUCUAGAUGUGUGAAGGUAGGUGUCUUUUCUGUAGGGAAGCUAAUGAUCCAUCAUGUAUGACAUUCCUGGGAGCUUGUAAACAUAAAUGUUUUUAUUACCAUAUCAUUUUUGUAUGUUCUCUAUAUUUAUGUACUUGAAAAUGUUUAAUUUGACCAAUUCAGAACAUUUGGGCAAACUCCUGGCAGAUGUAAUUCUUCACUGGAUCAGUCUGAACCUUUGCACACAUACUGCUGCCAUCUUGUGGACAACAUCUAAAUUCACACUCAUAAUCCUAUAUCAAUGGAUGGCCUUUCCCUUGCAUUUCAAAAUGAUUGUAAUUAAAUUAUCUUUUUCCAGAUCUAAUGUGUUAUAUUUUCCUACAUUAAUUUCAAAUUUCCACAGACUUCCAUAAACUUCAAAGUGUUUCCUUUCAAAUGGUAUCAAGAAUAUGCAUAUCCUUGGUUCAGGUUCUGAGCUACAGGCAGUUAGAUUUGGGAAUGUCAUUUUAGGCAGAAAUUGGAAAAAAGGGUCUGCUCCUUAUGAAGAGAUGAUGACCACUCAGCUACUGUUGUCAUCUCUCUCCGGACAUGAACUGAAGCCACGUUUCAUUUGCCCGCUCAUUCACUGGCAAGUUGAAUGUUUCCUGUCCAAGCACUUCAAAUCCUGUCCUGCCCUCAGUGGAAGAGUUGAGCUCUCUCCAAACACCAUCCAUCCAUCCAUGAUGAGCCUGUCCUGCACUAAAGUCUAUGAACACCUCAACCCCCGUCCUUCACUGAAGUCGAACCUCUGAACACCUCAACUCAUGCCUCACACCCUCAUUCAAUCACUGCUGUGAUCCCUUCCCAACACUGUAAUUAGCGCUCUCAUUCCCAUUCCCCAUAAUACUGUGCUAUAAAUGCCUUUAUUAAAUGCUUGAGGUUAAAAUAA